CCUUCGUUCUGCUCCUUAGCACCAGAGCGCUGCGAGGGGGAACGCGCACUCCUCCCCGGCCGUCAGACAGAACUGGAGUGCAAUGCACUGAAGCCCCACCAUCUGCAAGGAAUGCAGAAACCUGAAAAGAACAUGCUGCAUGCAAGAGCCUGGCAGAAGAGCUGUCUUGAAUUGUGGUGGUAGUAACCCCACUAUCACCACCUGAAGUACUGUAGGAGCACCUCUACUUGUAGGUAAUCUUCCCACACUGGCACACAGAGUCCCGUUAGGAAAUCACACUGGGAAAUGUCUUACCAUCUUUUCUCUGGAAGUCAACAUUAUUGCUGUAGCACGUGGAAAAGUCACUGCUUGUGUCAGUGAUAAUACCUCGCUAGGCCAAGCAGGAGGCACCCAACAAGCAGUCCAGCUGACAUAGGCGAGGGGCAGCCUGUGUCACCUGCUACCGACUCCAUGGGACAUCUUUGGCAGUGAAGCUGUUCCUGUCCACUGUGCCUGGGAUGGAGCCUACCAACAACUGCUGGCCAUAGAGAUGGUGAGAUGGUAGUGUUUGUACUGUAGGUUCAGCACAUCUGUGGCACAUCACUGGAAUGCAAAGCAUCUAGGGCAGAUGUAGAGGCUGGAUAAGGCUCCUUGCCAUCCUUGAAAACACUGUGAAGUGCCAGGCUGGGAUUCCCCUGGCAGUGGGGGAUUCCUUGCCUGGCACUCAUCUAAUCCCAAGUAGGAGGCACUGAGACAUCAGGAGCAGCCCAGCCUCAGGUCCCAGGAGAUGGCCUGUGGUGUGAUGCUGGCCUGUCCAUGCAGCCCUACCAGAGACAUUCCUGACCUCUGCCAGCCCCAACCUGAGAGAUAUUCACUGUCCUCAAAGAACACAGCAAGGGGCAGCUGAAGGAGGAAGGAGCGGGCACAAGCUGGCAUUGGGGCACACACUGUUUCUGUGCUACCUGCAUUUCAGACGUGUUCACAUCAUGUAACAGGAUCUCAAGCCACCAUUAACUCUUCCUUUACUUUGUGUACACACAAGUGACAGUAUGUUUAUAUGAGACAUAAGGACAGUGCACACUGCUGCUGCUUGUCACCUAGGCUAAACACUCAGAUACACAUGUGCUGACAAUCACUGUUGUUACAGUCACUGAUAGGAAAAGCCUUUAAUGAUACACAACUUAGUACAGUUACACAGCCACGGCAGACAGGCAUGAAGCACAUUUGGCUGCCUUAAUUAACCUUAAGAAUUAUGAAGCCGUGCCUGUAACUGAAAUAUAGUUUUGCCUUUUAUAAACUAUUUGACAUGAGAAUUAUGAGGCCAAGAAUUAGAUGUAGGAACACAUCUAAAUAUUUAUGCUAUGUUCAUUACUCUGGUAUCUGAGUGCAUGUUUACAUUGUAACCUCCACUCCAACAUCCAUUAUUUCACUUGGCCAUAAAACCCCGUGUUACCCAUCACACUGUGCCACUGCUCUCCCUGCCAGAAUAGGGAAACACAGAAUCAUAGAAACAUAGAAUCAUAGAAACACAGAAUCAUUAACACUGGAAAAGA